UACGGGGGGGGUAAGCGUUGUUCGGAAUUACUGGGCGUAAAGGGCUCGUAGGCGGCCAACUAAGUCGGACGUGAAAUCCCUCAGCUUAACUGGGGAACUGCGUCCGAUACUGGAUGGCUUGGAUUUGGGAGAGGGAUGCGGAAUUCCAGGUGUAGCGGUGAAAUGCGUAGAUAUCUGGAGGAACACCGGUGGCGAAGGCGGUUCUCUGGGCAUGAUCUGACGCUGAGGAGCGAAAGUGUGGGGAGCGAACAGG
rnacentral:rRNA from 1 species